GGGGGGGGGUGUCGGGAUUCUGGGCGUAAGCGCGUGUAGGCGGCGUGCCAAGUCCGGGGUGAAAGGCGGGGGCUCAACCCCCGAACUGCGCCGGAAACUGGCAGGCUUGAGUGUCGGAGAGGGGAGUGGAAUUCUCGGUGUAGCGGUGAAAUGCGUAGAGAUCGAGAGGAACACCCGUGGCGAAGGCGGCUCCCUGGCCGAACACUGACGCUGAGACGCGAAAGCGCGGGGAGCGAACGGGAUUAGAUACCCCGGUAGUCCGCGCCGUAAACGAUGGUCACUAGGUGUCCUCGGUAUCGACCCCGGGGGUGCCGCAGCUAACGCAGUAAGUGACCCGCCUGGGGAGUACGGCCGCAAGGUUGAAACUCAAAGGAAUUGACGGGGGCCCGCACAGGCGGUGGAGCAUGGGGAUUAAUUCGUCAUUAACCGAAGAACCUUACCAGGGCUUGACAUCCCCGGAACCCGUGGGAAACCGCGGGGUGCCCCGCAAGGGGAGCCGGGAGACAGGUGUUGCAUGGCUGCCGUCAGCUCGUGUCGUGAGAUGUUGGGUUAAGUCCCGCAACGAGCGCAACCCUCACCCAAUGUUGCCAGCGUAAAGCCGGGCACUCUUUGGGAACUGCCCGGGUAACCGGGAGGAAGGUGGGGAUGACGUCAAGUCGGCAUGGCCCUGACGUCCUGGGCUUCACCCAUGCUACAAUGGGCGCAACAGAGGGCCGCGAACCCGCGAGGGGGAGCCAAUCCCAGAAAGGCGCUCUCAGUUCGGAUUGCAGGCUGCAACUCGCCUGCAUGAAGUCGGAAUCGCUAGUAACCGCCGGUCAGCUAAACGGCGGUGAAUACGUUCCCGGGCCUUGUACACACCGCCCGUCACGUCACCUGAGUCUGCUGCACCCGAAGUCGCUGGCUCAACCGCAAGGGGAGAGGCGCCGAAAGGUGUGGCCGGUAAAGGGGGACGAAGUCGUAACAAGGUAACC
rnacentral:rRNA from 1 species